UACAGGGGGGGCAAGCGUUGUUCGGAAUUACUGGGCGUAAAGGGCUCGUAGGUGGCCAACUAAGUCAGACGUGAAAUCCCUCAGCUUAACUGGGGAACUGCGUCUGAUACUGGAUGGCUUGAGUUUGGGAGAGGGAUGCGGAAUUCCAGGUGUAGCGGUGAAAUGCGCAGAUAUCAGGAAGAACACCAAUGGCGAAGGCAGCUCUCUGGGACGGUACUGACGCUGAGGCGCGAAAGCUAGGGGAGCAAACAGG
rnacentral:rRNA from 1 species